ensembl:lncRNA
AAAUUUUAUUAACAUCUUAACCAUAAAUAGUUCUCACUUUAAAUGAGGUCACGGGAAGUCUGAAAAUGUCAUUAAGUGCUUUAAAACAUCCUUUAUUCAACAUUAAUUGCAUUUGUAUUCAGUGUUCCUCACAAUUUUUACAAAUAAAUUAAGCUUAUCCUCAAAGCUAAACAAAACCUCUUUAAAAAAGUAAAUAACAUAAUGCUCUCAAUAUGACAUACAAACACUAUUUAUGGUUAAUAAUUUGUUAACAAGUAUUAUAUAACGGUUUACAUAUGAGCAAAUGAAACAAUAACACUUUGUUGCUAACUUAGUGAGGCUUCCUCCACAACUGCCUGCCGUGCAUGGUUGUCUUGUUGCCAAAGUUACCUAGUGGGUGGUCUGCAUCCCACUUUUUUCUUCUUCCUUUGGCCACUGUACAGGAUUGCACUGUGGAGGAUAACACAAGUAUACACAAACAUUUGAACUAAUGUUUUUGAGCUAGUUAGGACAAGCACAAGAACAGGGACUAAUUAUUAAACCACUCCAACAAGACAUUUUUGUGAUGCUUAACAUACAUUUCCAGCAAAAUUUCAUUUUUGGUCAUUUCAUUUUUUCAUUUUAAGUUUAAGUGCAUAAGCAAAAUUAAAAUAAUCUAAUAAAAUAAAUAAAUAAUAAUAAUAAUAAUAAAAACUUUCUCUGUAGUGCUGUUCAAUAAGAGAGAUGCACGAGCUCGUGAGCAAGUGUCACUCCGUCGCGUGGGAUGAAUCGCACUGACGUCACUCAGUGACUCAACCGCUCAUCCUUAGUAAAAGUAACGCAGCUGUGAGUAACAACUCCUCUAGUCUCGGCUCAUCAGUUAUUAAUUCCUGAUGGAGGGUACAUGUUCAUAUGGCGGUGUUACAGGUGGAGGAAGGCUCUAUGGUGGGUUCUUGAAGGAAUUUAAACUGCGCAAUUCUUCCUCAUUAGCUCAUACACACAGAGAUCGGUUUUCAGCUCAUAUCACAGAAACAAAACAUCAUGAAAACGUCUUUAUGAAAACGCUGGAAUCUUUCUUGUCAUCUGCACAGCUGUCCAGCAGCUGGGAUUUUUCCUUCACCCCUGCAGUGGGAUGGCAAAUGAUGUCACUAUUGCUGAUGCAUCUGCAGCCAGUAGAAAAGGGCCAUUGGUGCCAGUUUGUGAAGAGCUUCUUCCUGAUUGAGCUCAGGGAGAUGAACAGCUUGGAGAGCAAAUCAUCAUGGAGAAGAGAAAGGCUCAAAUUGAAAGCGAGGGAAAGUGUAGUGAUCUCUGUUGAGAUCUGCAGUGGAGGGAUUCUCAGACUCAUCAGCGCGGUGAGUAUUCACAGGACGCUUUCUUCUCUCCAGAACAAGGUACAUCACGAGUGAACAUCUACAGUAAUUGCUUUUGUAUGUGC